AUUGAACGCUGGCGGCAGGCCUAACACAUGCAAGUCGAACGAGUGGCGGACGGGUGAGCAGUGUCUUGGAAACUGCCUGAUGGAGGGGGCUAACUACUGGAAACGUUAGCUAAUACCGCAUACCAUCGGAUGUGCCCAGAUGGGAUUAGGUAGUAGUGGGGGUAAAGGCUCACCUAGGCGACGAUCCCUAGCUGGUCUGAGAGGAUGACCAGCCACACUGGAACUGAGACACGGUCCAGACUCCUACGGGAGGCAGCAGUGGGGAAUAUUGCACAAUGGGCGAAAGCCUGAUGCAGCCAUGCCGCGUGUAUGAAGAAGGCCUUCGGGUUGUAAAGUACUUUCAGCGGGGAAGCGUUACCCGCAGAAGAAGCACCGGCUAACUCCGUGCCAGCAGCCGCGGUAAUUC
rnacentral:rRNA from 1 species